UACGGAGGGUGCAAGCGUUGCUCGGAAUUAUUGGGCGUAAAGGGUAGGUAGGUGGUCUUAUUUGUCUGGGGUGAAAGCCUUGAGCUUAACUCAAGAAGUGCCCCAGAAACGGUAAGACUCGAGUCCUGGAGAGGGUCGUGGAAUUCCCGGUGUAGCGGUGAAAUGCGUAGAGAUCGGGAGGAACACCAGAGGCGAAAGCGGCGACCUGGACAGGCACUGACACUCAACUACGAAAGCGUGGGGAGCAAACAGG
rnacentral:rRNA from 1 species